GAUGAACGCUGGCGGCGUGCUUAACACAUGCAAGUCGAACGUGAAGCUUGGGAUGAAUACUUCGGUAGGAUUACUAAGUGGAAAGUGGCGAACGGGUGAGUAACACGUAGGUUACCUGCCCUGGAGUGGGGGACAACCAUUGGAAACGAUGGCUAAUACCGCAUAGUUCUGUCGGUCUGGGAAGGCCGAUAGAUAAAGCUUCGGCGCUCCAGGAGGGGCCUGCGGUCGAUUAGCUAGUUGGUGGGGUAAAGGCCUACCAAGGCGACGAUCGAUAGCUGGUCUGAGAGGACGAUCAGCCACAUGGGAACUGAGACACGGUCCCAACUCCUACGGGGGGCAGCAGUGAGGAAUAUUGCACAAUGGGGGAAACCCUGAUGCAGCAACGCCGCGUGGAGGAUGAAGGUUUUUGGAUUGUAAACUCCUUUUCUGAGGGAAGAGCAAGGACGGUACCUCAGGAAUAAGUCACGGCUAACUACG
rnacentral:rRNA from 1 species